CCUACGGGUGGCUGCAGUGAGGAAUAUUGGUCAAUGGACGAGAGUCUGACCCAGCCAAGUAGCGUGAAGGAUGACUGCCCUAUGGGUUGUAAACUUCUUUUAUAAAGGAAUAAAACGAGCCACGUGUGCCUUUUUGCAUGUACCUUAUGACGAAGGAUCGGCGAACUCCGUGCCAGCAGCCGCGGUAAUACGGAGGAUCCGAGCGUUUUCCGGAUUUAUUGGGGUUAAAGGGAGCGUAAAUGGGUUGUUAAGUCAGUUGUGAAAGUUUGCGGCUCAACCGUAAAAUUGCAUUUGAUACUGGCAGUCUUGAGUACAGGUGAGGUAGGCGGAAUUCGUGGUGUAGCGGUGAAAUGCUUAGAUAUAAGGAAGAACCCCAAUGGCGAAGGCAGCUUACUAAACUGUGACUGACAUUGAUGCGCGAAAGUGUGGGUAGCAAACAGUAUUAGAUACCCUUGUAGUC
rnacentral:rRNA from 1 species